CAAGAGAGUCUGGGAUGUGACCAGCUUUAUAUGUUUUAUGCUAAAAACUUUUACAGAAAUGAACAUUUUUUGAGGGCUGGAGCUGAGAUUUACCAUCUUCAGUUGCCUAGACAUUGCUUUUGUUUGUAAGUCCCCCUUAAAUAUUUUCUUUCUGAGAAACUGGAUUUGUCAGCCUCUUUCUUUGGCCUCUCAGCUCCCUCUCAGCUUUCAUGGGUAGGUUUUUAUAAACCUGCUCAUCAUAAAACAAGGUGAAAUGACCAGGUGCAAAUGAAAUGUUAUACCUCUAAUCAUGGAGGCAUAAACGCAUGUCAUCAGGAGAAGGAAAAGCCACUAUCUGGAAUAGGAAACAGUGAAGAAAGAGAGAACGAGCCAGAAAUUUGAUCAGGGAAACCCGAGGGAGACCAACACACUUAAGCUGCCCUCACCUUGACUGUGUUGAGCUAAUCAAAUGAAAUUCAGUGCUGAGAAUUGGAUUUUGAAACACAACAAAAAUGACUCAUCACAGCUAUGAUACUCUUUUUCUGUGUCUCAUGUGCACAUUCAGCCAAGCUGCUCUUUCUGGUCACAUUCUGGAGUCUGUUUCAAAGCCUUGAGUCAGAGAAUCUGGAGAAAUUGGAGUAAAGGUGAAACUCUUCUGCUGUGUAGUGAUUUUCAAACUUGGCUGCACAUUUGCUGUAGAAUGGGAGUUUGUGUCCUCAAAUUUAUAUGUUGAUGCCUAAUCCCCACGAUGAUGCCAUGUGAAGAUAGAACAAGAAAACAAACCAAGAAUCUUGCCUCACCAGCUACCAGAUCUGCCAGCAACUUGAACUUAGACUUCCCAGCCUCCAUAAUGGUGAGAAAUAAAUGUUUUUUUUAAGCCACCCAGUUUGUGAUAUAUUUGUUUUGGCAGCCCAAACUGACUAAGACAUCACUGAUGUCAUCUGGGCAUAUUUAAACACUACUGAAGCUAUUUUCUCUACCCUACCACCACUAUCAGAAAUUCUAAUUUAGUGAUUGUGAGGGCAGACUGGACAUUCGGACUGUUAUAUAACCACAAAUGAUUCUAUGGGGAAGCAACCUAGUAAAUGUCUAAUCUGGAAUGCAUGAAAGUUAAAAAAAAAAAAAAACUCUCUCUCUUUCCCUCUAUUUCUCUCUGCUUUCUUGCUCUUGCUUUUUGAAAUUUCUUUUUGUGAGUCAUGUUAAGAAACUAUUAGGACAUCAGAAUAAACUAAUGGCUAACAUUUACUAAAUACCUACUGCUUUUCAACACUUGAAGUAUGCUUUAUUUUUAUUAUUCAAUUUAAGUCCUCUAACAACUCUUGAGCAAGUAGUGUGAGGCUCAGGGGGAGGAUGCACUACCUGCACAAAAAGGUUAGCUAACUUAGCCAGUUUCCUCAGUGAGAGGCACACCAGUCUUCUCAAUUCUGCUCACACAAAAACUAAAGUUAGAUACAUCAGAACCUGAACUUGACAGAAAAGUCUAAAGGUUCCUAAUGUUAGAUGAACACUAGAAUCUCAUGGUAAACUUCCAGAAAGCACCCCUGCUAUAUUUUAGUGGUGAAUACUUGAUACUAAGCACUUGUCAAAACCCACAUAAAUUUACAGCUCAAAUACUGAGCUUUAGCAUUUGCAAAUUUUAAAAAAUCAAUUCAGGAGGUCAGAGGGUUCCAAGAUGGAAUGCAGACUGUGACUAAGAAAUCUAAAUGUAUCAUGAAGGUAUGCAUAACCUCACUGAAGGAGGCAGAGAAACAAGGUGUUAAGUUUUAUUGGAAUUGAGUGGACUGAGACCGAAGGCAAUAGGAAGUGUGCAUAAGCACUGCACUCUAAUUGGUAAAGUUGCUUCCUACAAAAGCACCGUAACAAUUCUGAAAUCACUAUAUAUGUACAUAGGGUUGAACAAAUAUGUAACUAGAUGGUGAACGGUGCCAGAUUUCUCACUGUUGUAGUGGGAGGUUAUAGAUGCGCAAGGGGAAAAAUGUAGAAUGGUCCACGUAGUAAUGAAUUUGAGUAGGAAACAUUACUAUGAAUUCAGGUUAAUUUUAAUGU
ensembl:lncRNA